AUUCACUGAAUUAGAAUUACCCUAACUAGCUGCAACCUGACAUCCCUGGAGAAGAUGUGUGCUGACUUGAUCAAAAGUGCAAAGGAAAAUAAUCUCAAAGUGAAAGGACCAUUUUAGAUCCCUACCAAGAUUCUAAGAAUCACUAAGAGAAAAACUCCUGUGGUGAAGUUUGUUUAAGACUUGUAAGAAUCCAAGAUAAAUCCCCAUAAGAAUCCACAAGCGACUCACUGACUGACACAGAACUUCUGAAUUGCUAAAUUGAUUACUUUCAUCAGUAUUGAGCCAGCUGUUGAAGUCACCUCUGCACAGG
rnacentral:lncRNA from 1 species